GAAACUGGGAGACUUGAGUGCAGGAGAGGAGAGUGGAAUUCCUAGUGUAGCGGUGAAAUGCGUAGAUAUUAGGAGGAACACCAGUUGCGAAGGCGGCUCUCUGGACUGUAACUGACGCUGAGGCACGCAAGCGUGGGGAGCAAACAGGAUUAGAUACCCUGGUAGUCCACGCUGUAAACGAUGAGUACUAGGUGUCGGGGGUUACCCCC
rnacentral:rRNA from 1 species